AGAGUUUGAUCCUGGCUCAGAACGAACGCUGGCGGCAGGCUUAACACAUGCAAGUCGAACGGGCGCAGCAAUGCGUCAGUGGCAGACGGGUGCGUAACACGUGGGAACAUACCUUUUGGUUCGGAAUAACUUGGGGAAACUUAAGCUAAUACCGGAUACGCCCUUCGGGGGAAAGAUUUAUUGCCGAAAGAUUGGCCCGCGUCUGAUUAGCUAGUUGGUGAGGUAACGGCUCACCAAGGCGACGAUCAGUAGCUGGUCUGAGAGGAUGAUCAGCCACACUGGGACUGAGACACGGCCCAGACUCCUACGGGAGGCAGCAGUGGGGAAUAUUGGACAAUGGGCGCAAGCCUGAUCCAGCCAUGCCGCGUGAGUGAUGACGGCCUUAGGGUUGUAAAGCUCUUUUACCUGGGAAGAUAAUGACUGUACCAGGAGAAUAA
rnacentral:rRNA from 1 species